rnacentral:rRNA from 1 species
GGACUACCAGGGUAUCUAAUCCUGUUCGCUCCCCACGCUUUCGUGCCUCAGCGUCAGUAUGAUGCCAGGUGACUGCCUUCGCCAUCGACGUUCCUUCCGAUCUCUACGCAUUUCACCGCUACACCGGAAAUUCCAUCACCCUCUCAUCUACUCCAGUUAAGUCGUUUGCGAUGCACUUCCCAGGUUAAGCCCGGGGCUUUCACAUCACACUCACUUAACCGCCUACGCACCCUUUACGCCCAGUAACUCCGAUUAACGCUCGCACCCUCUGUAUUACCGCGGCUGCUGGCAC